AGAUGCGGAAAGGCUAAAAAAUUGGUAAAAAUUGCACAAUUCCUGUGCCAUUAAUGUUGCUUAUAUUUCACGCGACCCGUGUAAGCGUAUAUUAUCGCGAGGUUUCUCGAUGUGUAGCUGCCUACCAUAAGUCAUCGGAACAAUGCACGAGCACAUAGGUAUUAUUUACUCCACCUUCGUUCUCGAGCUAUGAUCUAUACUCUAUGCCAGAGUAGUCUGCCAUCUAUACUUACUUCCACGUACUUGUUUCUCGACUAAUGUCUCCCGAUUAUUAAAAAUUAACACGUCGAAUCGUUUGUAAAUGUAUACCAAUUACUCGUGUGCAAUAGGUACAUACGCGAUGUAACGAUAAAGUAUUAUAUCCUUUUUCAUUCCUCAAACGGUUCAAAGUGUAGUUUGGAAUGUUACGAGGCGGAAUUGGCGCUUGUAAAAGUUAACAGGAAACAUGUCCGGGUUCAAGCAGCCAUAUUUCACGAGUCGAAGUCUCAUAAGAGGAGAAACACGUAAAGAUAGGUAAACGUAGCCCUUUACAAGGUUAGGUUAGGUAUUUUCUUCUGAGUGUUCAAAAAGGAUUCCACCAACAAUGUACAAAGUACGUAAGUACUUGUUAGUACGUAUUGUAGUAAGUAUUGUAGUUAACAAAGAAACGAAUGUUCGCUAUAUGAAUAAAUACGAUACGUAUGGUAUUUAAAGGAAUUCGAGAAUUUGUUAAGUUUUUAUCGAUUUGAUCAAUUUACACGAUACGAAGUGGGACGAAAAACAUUUUUUUAUGAUUCUCGAAUCGAUUUUUAUAUUUUAUCUCCGAUUUUGUUCUUUUGUUGAAAAUCUUUAAAACUAAUUUACGAAAUGUGGCUAAAGAGAGCGCGAAAGAUAUUAUAGUUAGAGGGUGCGUUUUCGUAGUAAGUUGCAGUGUGUAGAGGCAGACGAAUUUCGGUGAGCUCGACGAGUUCGAGGAACACAUGUGCCGUGUGGUAAUGAUCAUUACCGUGUAAUGAUCGGACCAAUCGAUUGGCUUCGAUCGGUCCUGCAUGUUAGUGGUUCCCAACUUUGUUGCUGCGUUAUUCGAUACUUAGAUUGGCUUAGAUUAAAUUAGACAAUUUUUAAACCAAUAUUUCGAAAAAAGGAGAUAAUUGAUAAGGAAAAUUGAUAAGGAAAAUAAUUGGUAUCCCGAAACUGCUCUAUUUUACUCAGACUUUUUCCCUAAUUUCAAUUUAUUGUAAUUGUAUGUAAUUAACACAUUCGAGAUGGCAUCGAAAAGUAUUUCUUCGAUAUAAGAUUUUUUUUCGAUAAAUAUGAAAAAUCGAAUAUUUAAAAAUCUCUAUAGGAAAUUCCCAUAAACGCACACAUAAACGCUUCUCGAAUUAAUUAAUUAGUUGAUUCAAUGUUUUAAUCAGAGGUAGUGUUUUAUCAUGCACGUUUGUUUGUCAUCAUUUAACCGAAGAAUAUGGAAAGGAUAUAGGAAAAUUGAACGCGUCAGGUUGAAAAACACUGGCUAAGAGGGUACUGUACGUAACCGGUAACGCGGCAAGUUCGCACCUCCGCAAAGAGGGUCCAUCUCGCGCUCGCCCUACCGCGCAACACCGCUCGUUAAACGAAUUAAGUAGUUACGGUUUGUUUAAUCGGGGCCACGGAGGCCUGAAUUAAGUUGUUAUCGCGAAUUAGCUGAUUAUACCGAGGCGGCGCGAGGUGUCGAGUUGAUUUGUUGUUGCGAAAUAUGGCAUGAGGUUUGUUUAUGCUCGCCACGCCCCACACCCCCUCGCCGACCUUUCAGCUCGUUUACGGCUGACCUUAAAUAAGGUGCAUAGACCGUUCCAUCCAUCCAUCCACGCUACUCUCUCUUUACUCUCUUUCCGUCCAUGAUCCCACCCCUUUCACUCGCGCCACGGAAACCAGGGGAUGGAUAAUCAUUCUCUAUAAUGCUAUGAUAACACUUCACAAGUGCAUGAUAUAUCGCUAAUGGCAGGAGACUCGUAAUCUGCCUUUUUUCGAGAAACACGAUACAUUUUUUCACCGGACUAAAACUAAUAUUGACUGUAACAACGUGUUUUUUUUUCUCCCCCCCCCCCCUUUCAUUUAAUUAUGGUAUCGCGUUUCCCCUAUAAGAAAUUUAAGUAUCCGAUAGAUCCGGUCAGUUUUUUUGGAUUUCUUAAAUUUCUUAGAUUACAUUCGAUUAGAUAGAAAGAAAAAUGAUGGAAUAAUUAUCGGAAUAAAUUUUAUCUUGUUAGCGGAACGGUAAGGAAUUGGUAAUGGAACAUCGCGUGGUCGAGGAAACCGCCAAGGAGGGAAGGGGUAAAGGGAAGGUCAUAGACGUGUCGCGUUGAAGAGCGGUAAAAGGAUCGUUGGUCAUUUUCCACGAAAAUUAUAGCCAUCUAUGCGCGUAAUCCCCUUUAUGGCCGCGUUGCAUCAAAUUAUAACUGGCAAUGGCGCUGCCAUCGUCUUUCCUCCUCCUCGCCUUCGCCUCUUCCUCUCCUCUCGGACCCGUGCGCUUCCUUCGUUUCCCGUUUUUUUUUUUUUUUCGUUCGUCUUCUCGUAGGUACGCGUCCUCGAAGCCUCGUAAAACGGCACAUUCCGCCAAUCAUCGCGGCACAUCGGCCAGAUACGUAACCCUUCGACCCGCCGAGCGACCUAACCUCUAAUUUCGCCGCUCGAUCCACGUGGACACGACGAUAAAUCGAUAAAUCAUCGCUACGAUCUCCCUACGUGAACGUGUAACAACAUGAACGUUUGCAUAAAGGCACGUAGUUAAAUUGCGGCCAUUAUCGCGGAGAUCAAAUGAUGAAUGCCGAUUCGAGAAAUAUGAGGUUCACGCGAACACCUCAACCAGUGUGCAACCACGUAUCGAUAUUCACGUUUGAUCGAUCCAUCGUAGUUAACGACCAUAGAUGGACAAGAAUUGCGAAAAGUAAUUAAACCCGAUUGGUUACGAAUUAUAAUCAUGCUUGUAAAUUAAUUUUCGAUAUACUACCGAGAUAUCGUCUCAGAUAUUGGCCAACGAUCAAUGAAAAAUUAAAGAUAUGGCUUCUCUUGGUCGGAUCACGAAUUAUAAUCAUCCUUGUAAAUUAAUUUUCGAUACACAACACCGAGAUAUCGUCUCAGAUAUAAGCGAAUGAUCGAUGAAAAAUUAAGAAAGUUUCAGAUAUAAGCUUCUUUUUUUGCUACCAUAAAUUAUAAUCAAGCUUAUAAAUUAAUUCUCGAUAUAAUAUCGUCUCGGAUAUGGGCGAACGAUCAAUGAAAAAUCAAGAGAGGUUAUGUAUAUUUUGAUUGCGUUUAAGUAAUACGUUUAUGAUUUAAUUCCAGAUAUGGCCUCUCUUUUAAUACCAUGAAUUAUAAUCAAACUCUAACAAAUUAAUUUUCGAAUUUAUAUUAUCGUCUUGGAUAUGAGAGAACGAUCAAUCAAAAAUUAAGAAAGAUACGUAUAUUUCGAUAGUUUCUUUUAGGUUAGGUUAGGUUAAAUGAUAAACUAUGAUAUUUCAAUAGACGCAUAGGAUAUUUAUAUAAAUUUUUCUACCAUGUUUGUUACGAGCUGAAAUGUUGAACAGUAAUAAAAAUAUCUUUGACCCA